AUUGAACGCUGGCGGCAGGCUUAACACAUGCAAGUCGAGCGGAGAUGAGGUGCUUGCACCUUAUCUUAGCGGCGAACGGGUGAGUAAUGCUUAGGAAUCUGCCUAUUAGUGGGGGACAACAUUCCGAAAGGAAUGCUAAUACCGCAUACGCCCUACGGGGGAAAGCAGGGGAUCUUCGGACCUUGCGCUAAUAGAUGCGCCUAAGUCGGAUUAGCUAGUUGGUGGGGUAAAGGCCUACCAAGGCGACGAUCUGUAGCGGGUCUGAGAGGAUGAUCCACCACACUGGGACUGAGACAGGGCCCGGACUCCUCCGGGGGGAAGCAGUGAGGAAGAGUGAACAAUGGGCGGAAGCCUGAGCAAGCCAUGCCGAGUUUGUGAGGAAGGCCUUUUGGUUGUAAAGCACUUUAAGCGAGGAGGAGGCUAACUGGAUUAAUACUCUAGGAUAGUGGACGUUACUCGCAGAAUAAGCACCGGCUAACUCUGUGCCAGCCGCCGCAGUAAAAC
rnacentral:rRNA from 1 species